GAUGAACGCUGGCGGCGUGCCUAAUACAUGCAAGUCGAACGAGGUGCUUGAGUAGCAAUACAAGAGUAUCCUAGUGGCGAACGGGUGAGUAACGCGUGGAUGACCUGCCCCAAAGUGUGGGAUAACAGUCCGAAAGGAUUGCUAAUACCUCAUGUGGUUAUCGGAUUUAGAAACUGAUAACUAAAGCAGCAAUGCGCUUUGGGAGGGAUCUGCGUCCCAUCAGCUAGUUGGUGAGGUAACGGCUCACCAAGGCGACGACGGGUAGGGGACCUGAGAGGGUGGCCCCCCACAAUGGAACUGAACAACGGUCCAUACACCUACGGGUGGCAGCAGUAGGGAAUAUUGCUCAAUAGGGCGAAAGACCUUAACGACAGCGAACGACCGCGUGUGCGAUGAAGGCC
rnacentral:rRNA from 1 species